rfam:Gasterosteus aculeatus cont1.016504, whole genome shotgun sequence.
GGGGGUAUAGCUCAGUGGUAGAGCAUUUGACUGCAGAUCAAGAGGUCCCCAGUUCAAAUCUGGGUGCCCCUU